rnacentral:rRNA from 1 species
AGUGAACGCUGGCGGUAGGCCUAACACAUGCAAGUCGAACGGCAGCACAGUAAGAGCUUGCUCUUACGGGUGGCGAGUGGCGGACGGGUGAGGAAUACAUCGGAAUCUACUUUUUCGUGGGGGAUAACGUAGGGAAACUUACGCUAAUACCGCAUACGACCUCCGGGUGAAAGCAGGGAUCUUCGGACCUUGCGCGAUUGAAUGAGCCGAUGUCGGAUUAGCUAGUUGGCGGGGUAAAGGCCCACCAAGGCGACGAUCCGUAGCUGGUCUGAGAGGAUGAUCAGCCACACUGGAACUGAGACACGGUCCAGACUCCUACGGGAGGCAGCAGUGGGGAAUAUUGGACAAUGGGCGCAAGCCUGAUCCAGCCAUACCGCGUGGGUGAAGAAGGCCUUCGGGUUGUAAAGCCCUUUUGUUGGGAAAGAAAAGCAGCAGGUUAAUACCCCGCUGUUCUGACGGUACCCAAAGAAUAAGCACCGGCUAACUUCGUG